rnacentral:rRNA from 1 species
AACGAACGCUGGCGGCGUGCCUAACACAUGCAAGUCGAACGAGAAAGGGGCUUCGGCUCUGAGUAAAGUGGCGCACGGGUGAGUAACACGUGGGCAACCUGCCUCCAAGACCGGGAUAACCUGUCGAAAGACGAGCUAAUACCAGAUAAGACCACAGUUCCUGCGGGAAUCGGGGUCAAAGGUAGCCUCUGCAUGCAAGCUAUCACUUGGAAAUAGCCCUGCGCACCUUUACCUAGUUGGUAGGGUAACGGCCUACCAAGGCGAAAAUGGUUAGCUGGUCUGAAAGGAUGAUCACCCACACUGGAACUGAAACACGGUCCAAACUCCUACGGGAGGCAGCAGUGGGGAAUAUUGCGCAAUGGGCGAAAGCCUGACGCACCAACGCCGCGUGAGUGAUGAAGGCCUUCGGGUCGUAAAGCUCUGUCGGAGGGAACGAAUGCUCCCGAGGUUAAUACCCUCGGGGGGUGACGGUACCCUCAAAGGAAGCACCGGCUAACUCUGUGCCAGCAGCCGCGGUAAUACCAGAGGGUGCAAGCGUUGUUCGAAUUUAUUGGGCGUAAGGGGCGUGUAGGCGGUUUGUUAAGUCAUGUGUGAAAUCCCCCGGCUCAUCCGGGGAAGGACGCAUGAAACUGGCAAGCUAGAGUACCAAGAGGGGGGGAAGCUAGAGUACCAAGAGGGGGGGUGGAAUUUCCGGGUGUAGCGUUGAAUGCGUAAAUAUCGGGGAGGAACACGGUGCGAAGCGCCCCUGGUUGGAUCCUGACCCUGACUCCAAAGCGUGGGGAAACAACAAGG